rnacentral:rRNA from 1 species
CCUACGGGAGGCAGCAGUGAGGAAUAUUGGUCAAUGGGCGCGAGCCUGAACCAGCCAAGUCGCGUGAAGGAUGACUGCCCUACGGGUUGUAAACCUCUUUUAUCAAGGAGUAAAGUGAGGCACGUGUGCCUGUUUGUAGGUUCUUUAUGAAUAAGGCUUGGGCAACUCCGUGCCAGCAGCCGCGGUUAUACGGAGGGUCGGGGGGUUUUCCGGGUUUUUUGGGUUUAAAGGGGUCGGAGAUGGGUUGUUAAGGCAGUUGUGAAAGUUUGGGGCUCAAGCGUAAAAUUGCAAUUGAUACUGGCAGUCUUGAGUACAGUAGAGGUAUGCGGAAUGCGGGGUGUAGCGGUGAAAUGCAUAGAUAUCACGAAGAACUCCGAUUGCGAAGGCAGCUUACUAAACUGCCACUGACACUGAUGCACGAAAGUGUGGGUAUCGAACAGGAUUAGAUACCCGAGUAGUC